rnacentral:rRNA from 1 species
UACGAAGGGUGCAAACGUUGCUCGGAAUUAUUGGGCGUAAAGCGCACGUAGGCGGCUUAGCAAGUCGGAAGUGAAAUCCCACGGCUCAACCAUGGAAGUGCUUUCGAAACUGCUGAGCUUGAGUACGAAAGAGGAUCGCGGAAUUCCCGGUGUAGAGGUGAAAUUCGUAGAUAUCGGGAGGAACACCAGUGGCGAAGGCGGCUCACUGGCCCGGUACUGACGCUGAGGUGCGAAAGCGUGGGGAGCAAACAGG